rnacentral:tRNA from 1 species
GGGUCGUAGCACAACUGGUAGAGCACCGGACUCCAAAUCCGGGGGUUGGGGGUUCGAGUCCCUCCGGCCCCC